AUACGGAGGGUCCAAGCGUUAUCCGGAAUCAUUGGGUUUAAAGGGUCCGCAGGCGGUCAAUUAAGUCAGAGGUGAAAGCCCAUCGCUCAACGAUGGAACUGCCUUUGAUACUGGUUGACUUGAGUUAUACGGAAGUAGAUAGAAUAAGUAGUGUAGCGGUGAAAUGCAUAGAUAUUACUUAGAAUACCGAUUGCGAAGGCAGUCCACUACGUAUAUACUGACGCUGAGGGACGAAAGCGUGGGGAGCGAACAGGAUUAGAAACCCUAGUAGUCC
rnacentral:rRNA from 1 species